rnacentral:lncRNA from 1 species
UUUUUAGGGCCACAGGUGCAGCAUAUGGAAGUUCCUGGGUAAGGAGUUGAAUUGGAGCUACAGCUGCUGGCCUACACUACAGCCACGGCAACGUGGGUCUGAGCCAUGUCUGUCACCUACACUGCAGCUCAUGGCAAUGGUGGUUCCUUAACCCAAUGAGUGAGGCCAGGGAUCAAAUCUGCAUCCUCAUGGAUAAUAGUUGGGUUCACAACCACUGAGCCACAAUGUGAACUCCUCUUUUUCCUUCUUUUGCUUUCUUCCCUUGUAAUUUUACAGUUAUUCUUAAUGUUAUGUUUGGAUUCCUUUCUCUCUUAUGUGUGUACCUAUUACAGUUCUUUUUUUGGUUUGUGGUUAUUAGUGGGUUUAUAUAACAGUCAUAUAUAUACACGAUUAUUUUAAGUUGAUCUCUUAACAAUGCUGCAUAUUCACUGUAUUGAAUAUUACUGACCUGUUGUGUGUAUCCCUUAACCACUGAUUAUGGAUAUAAUUUUAUUACUUUUGUCUUUUAACCGUCCUACUAGCCCUAUACACGGUUGACUUACUAACUUGACUGUGUAUUUGUCUUUACCAAUGACAUUUUUUUCUUUCACAAUUUUUAUGUUUCUGGUUGUAGUCUUUUCUUUUUCAUUUAGAGAAGUCCCUUUCACAUUUCUUGUAAAGCUGGUUUAGUGUUGCUGAACUCUUGGUUUUUGUUUGUCUGCAAAACUUUUUGUCUCUCCUUAAAAUCUGAAUUCUAACCUUGCUGGGUAGAAUAUUCUUGGUUAUAGUUUUUCUCCUCUUUAUCACUUUAAAUAUAUUGUGUCAUCCCUUGUGGUCUGCAAAGUUUCUGCUGAAAAGUCAGCUGACAGUCUCAAGUCCCUUAAACUAUUCUCCCCGCCCUCAUUUUUUCAUUGCCACACUUGCAGCAUAUGGAAGCACCCAGACCAGGGAUUGCAUUGGAGUUGCAGCUGUAAACCAUGCCACAAAUGUGGCAAUGCCAGAUCCCUUAACUAACUGUGCCUGGCCAAGGAUCAAAUCCGUGCCUUCAAAGUGACCUGAGCCACUCAGUCAGAUUCUUAAGUCAUGGCAACACAGCAGGAACUCCCCUUAUAGUAUUCUUAUUUUUUGAAAUUAUUUUUUCUGUGUUCAGUUUGGGCGACUUCUACUACCCUGUGUUCCAGUUUGCUGAUAUGUUCCUCUGUAUCUUCUAAUCUAUUUUGAUUCCUUCUUGUAUAUUUUUUAAUUUCCAUUAUUGUAUUCUUCAGCUGUUUGGUUCUUCAUGUUUUCUCUUUAUUAAGCUUCUUACUGUGUUCAUCUAUUCCUCUCCAAAUGAUGCUCUCUGAACAUCUUUAUAAUCAUUACCUUGAAUUUUUAAUGGUAGAUUGCUCAACUCCACUUUGCUUAGUCUUCUUUUGGGGUUUUACCUUGUUCCUUCAUUUGGAACACACUUCUUUUGCUUCAUUUUGCAUAACCCUCUGCUUUUGCUUUUAUGUAUUAGGUAGACUGGUUAUGUUUCUUAAUCUUGGAGAAGUGGCCUUAAUAGCUAUGUGGCUUAGCAGCACACUCUCCUCUGGUUACCAGAGCUAUAUGCUCUUGUACGCUACGUGGGUCCUUCUAUUGUCAUGGGGCUGACCACUAUGGGUACACUAAUAGGCAGGGCUGUCCCCCAGCCUGGUUGGUUGCCAGGCUCUGCCUCGUGCAUAGGCUACUGGCCCAAUGGCUGGGAGGACUCCAAAAUGGCACUUGGCAAAACCAAUGUCCUCAUCGUAGACUGGGCUCCUAAAAAUGGCUGCCAUCAGUCUAUGCCCCAGUGGGGAGUCCCAAUUGUGUUCUGCCUCUCCUGGAAGCUCUCCAAGAUCAGCAAGUGGGUCUGACCAAGGCCCCUUUCAAAUUACUGCCUCUGUGCUGGGCUCUCAGUGUAUGUGAGAUUUUGCAUAUGUCCUUUAAGAACAGAGACUCUGUUUCUUAUAGCCCUCUGGUUCUCCCAUACACAAGUUCCUUUGGCUUUCAAAGCCAGACACUCUGGGGCUGGAUUCUUCUGGGUAGCCUACCCUAGAGGUGUGGGUCUUGACUAUACUGCAACUCUGCCCUUCUUAUCUGCCUAGUUGUGGUUCCUUCUUUAUACUUUAGUUGUGGAAAAUAAUUUCUGCUAGUCUUCAGGUAAUUUUCAUCAAUAGCUGCUCUGUAAAUAGUUGUAAUUUUGGUGUGACCAUGGGAUGAGGAGGCCUGCUCAUGACCCUGGUCCCGAAGUCAGUGGUGCCACAGAAAUAAGAAGAAAGAGACAAAUAGAGUGGGGAUUAGGGGGCUACAGCCUUCAAGAGGCAAUAGCAACCCUCUGAGCCAACUCAUGGUUUUUAUUUACUCUUUUCUACUUCCUUGUAUGUGCAGGGGAUACAUCGGUAUUUUACUUCAAAUAGACUGGAAGCAAGAUAUGCUAGCACAGUCAUUCCUAAGCACAUAAAGUAAUCAUAAAUGUUUUAGCCCUCCCAGGCCAUAAUUUGUUGUUUGCUUCAAGCCAUCCAUGGCUUUUCUCCCACAAAUCCCCCAAGGCUCCAGUCCUGAGAAUGUCAGAACUACUGGUUUUCCAUUAGCAACAUCAAUGCUUCAGCAAUCUUAUUUUCAAGAUGCCAUUCUUUGAUGUUGUUCUCAUUCGUUUUGCCUCAACGGUCAUGAAAGAGUCACAAGACUUUGUAAAGUAUAGACUGACAUUCUAUAGCUACUCUACGGCGCCAAUCUUUUCUUUCCAUUCUUUGUUAUGUCGCAUAUUCAUGCCUCCAACAAUGGGAGGAAGUUAGCUCAGGGUCUUGCUACUCACAUUUGAACUGGCUUUCCUCAGAACAAAUAAGCAGGAGAGGGGUACCCAAGGUAGAAGCCAUAGUCUUUCUGUAACCUAAUCUCAGACAUGACAUCCCAUCAUUGGAAACAAGUCACUAGAUCAGUCCACAAGCAGCCCACAAGAGGUGGGCAUCAUUGAAGGCUAUCUUAGGAAGCCUACCAUCUCCCAGGCAAAAAAUAGAGGAAACAUCUCCUUCCUUAGGGCUCUGCCUUCUCUGUUUCUUGACGCCCUCAAAAAUUACUUAUUAAACACCUACAGUGGGCUGGGUGUUGGGGAUGUGAUCAAUAAUACAAAUAAGAUUCUUUCCCUUGGUGAGAUUACUUAGUCUAGUGGGGGAAGAGGACACUAAAGAAUAAAGUGAACAUACAAAUAAAAACUGUGCUAAGUACAAGGAAGUUAAUUAUGAGAUAAUAGGCACAUCUAAUUUAGAUUGAGACAAGGGUCAGGCAAAGUCUUUCUGAUAAAAUAGUACUCAGAAGGUGAUUUAAGACGUGUAGAAACUGAGCUGUGUGUGUAUGUGUGUGUGGGGAGGGAAGAGUAAGUUUCUAGAUAGAGGGAAAGUACAUGCAGAUAACAACCAAUAUGUUUAACUGCCAGACUCAGAUAAUUUAAGGAAUGGACCUCAUCUCUGCAUCUCUAUUACAUAGGACAGUGCCUGUCUGUGCCAAGAAUUGAAAAGUUCUUACUUAUUGAAUCAAUAAAUGAAUCCAAGGCAUCUUCUACUUCCUUACUGUUCAAGUUAUUCAGAAAUUUUCUCCCAAAGUUCACUGCUGGGUCACAUUCUUAGUUUGAAUGAGGUAGCAUAGGCAAAGCUGCUAUAACAAAAAGACAUAAAUACAUAAAAGCUCAACACGACAGAGAUUUAUUUUUUUUCUCAUGUAACAAUACUGAGUGGAUGUUAAGGUCAACACAGCAGACUUCUCCUUCACUCAGGUAUCUUCCAUCUUAAAGCCUUGCCUUCUCCAUAACCUGGUCAUCAUCUUCCGGCUGACAAAGUAAGUAAGAGCAUCUGUUCAUAGAUUUUCUGGGCCAGGCCUAGAUAUAUGCACAUGUAUUCUGCUCACUUUCCACUGGAGGAAAGCAUAGGCAUAUGGCCACACCUUUUUUACGGGGGUUGAGGAAUGUAGUGUAGGUAAAUGGUCAACAAAGGAGACAACUACGUCUGCACCACAAUAUAUCCAAUUACUUAUCCUCUAGUACAUCACAUAAGAACCUCAAAUUAACCAGGCAGAAAAGAACUCUGGAUUCUCCACUCUCACUCUCAUCAAGUCUUUCAUUCACUGAAUGUCCCAUCACCCAUACAAGCUGCUUAAGCCAGAAAUUAUUCUGGAUUAGUUUCUUAUUCACAUUUUCCACACUGAGUCCUUCAGUAAGUCCAUUCACCUCUACCUCCGAAACAUAUCAUAAAUCCAUCUAUUCUAACUUUACCGCCACUUUACCUAGAUGAUUAUGAUUGGAACAUCAUAAUCAUCUAGGUUACCCCACAGCCUCUUAAUAACUGUCCAUGUCUCCAAUUUUUUUUUGCUUAUUACGGCUGUGCCCACAGCAUAUGGAGGUUCCCAGGCUAGGGGUUGAAUUGGAGCUA